UGCUGGUGUUUUACUCGAAUGUGUCCCACCUCUUCCCAUUUCGAACAGAGAAGUGAAAGCAUUUGAGGCUGAUGAUACUCGGAUUUCCGGGGAAAGUAGGGUACGCCGGCAU
rnacentral:rRNA from 1 species